UACGUAGGGGGCAAGCGUUGUCCGGAUUUAUUGGGCGUAAAGAGCGUGUAGGCGGCUUGGUAGGUCCGCUGUGAAAACUCGAGGCUCAACCAUCGAGAUGUCGGCGGAAACCACUUGGCUAGAGUCCGGAAGAGGAGAGUGGAAUUCCCGGUGUAGCGGUGAAAUGCGCAGAUAUCGGGAAGAACACCUAUGGCGAAGGCAGCUCUCUGGGACGGUACUGACGCUGAGACGCGAAAGCGUGGGGAGCGAACAGG
rnacentral:rRNA from 1 species